UAGCUCUGUUGGUAGAGCAUGGUGUUUGCAACGCCAGGGUUGUGGGUUCGAUUCCCAU
rnacentral:tRNA from 1 species